rnacentral:rRNA from 1 species
UACGUAGGGGGCUAGCGUUGUCCGGAUUUAUUGGGCGUAAAGAGCGUGUAGGCGGCCAGGUAGGUCUGCUGUGAAAACUCGAGGCUCAACCUCGAGACGUCGGCGGAAACCAUCUGGCUAGAGUCCGGAAGAGGAGAAUGGAAUUCCCGGUGUAGCGGUGAAAUGCGCAGAUAUCGGGAAGAACACCCGUGGCGAAGGCGGUUCUCUGGGACGGUACUGACGCUGAGACGCGAAAGCGUGGGGAGCGAACAGG